AACAAGGCGUACCUGCGGACCUGCGGAAGGAUCAUUAAAGAGAAAACUGCCCUUUGGGUAGAUCUCCCACCCUUUGUUUACCUUACCUUUGUUGCUUUGGCAGGCCCGUCUUCUGACCACCGGCUUUUAGCUGGUCCGUGCCUGCCAGAGGACCCCCAACUCUUGAUUUCAAGUUGUCCGAGUCUUAUACAAUAGUAAAAACUUUCAGCAAUGGAUCU
rnacentral:misc_RNA from 1 species